rnacentral:lncRNA from 1 species
UCCAACUCACAUGCUCCCUUCCGAUCUUCUUCGUCUUCCUCUGCACUCGCCGUUGCUGCUUUCCAGCACAAAAGCCGCUUUAUACAUGUUGAUCACCUAAUUGGAUGCAAAAGGGGAGAGAUUGGAGAUUGCAACUUGUAAGUAAAAAAAAAAGAGAGUGGAAAAGACUGCGGGAUGAAGCUAUCUCAAAUCUCAUUGUCUACUUUCUUAUUCAUGUCAUUUAAUGCCAGAUCUCAAUCCAGCAGGUAUUGAAAAUUUGAAAGGAUCCAUGACGCUGAAUUGAAAGGAUUUGCCAAAAUGUUCAAAGCGAGAUGGAGAAGCGAUAGGAACAAGAUCAAGGCUGUGUUCAGAUUGCAAUUCAAUGCAACGCAGGUGAGUUCGGUAAUAGCUAGGCAAUGUGCUGGUUGUGAUUAUAUGAAUUGGUGUAUGAUUUCGCCAUGAUAAUGCUUCAGAUACCUCAACCGGGAUGGGAGAGUCUCGUAGUGUCUUUGAUUCCUCUGGAUGGGGGGAAGACGAUGACCAAAUCGGAGAAGGCUGUUGUGGUUGACGGUGCCUGUUGCUGGGAUAAAGCAUUAUUCGAAACAGUGAGACUUUCAAAGGAGCCCAAGACAGGAAAAAUCAAUGAGAAGAAUUACCGCUUUCUUGUGUCAGCAACUGUGAGAGUUUCUUCUUCUUCUUCUUGUCAGUUUUCUCAGAGUGGACGAUAUCAUA